rnacentral:tRNA from 1 species
UCCCUUGUGGCUUAGCUGGUAAAGAAUCUGCCUGCAAUGCAGAAGACCCAGGCUCGAUCCCUGGGUUGGGAA